UACCCCGGGGCGCGGCCAUGGAGGUGGUGGGCGACUUCGAGUACAGCAAGCGGGACCUCGUGGGACACGGGGCCUUCGCCGUGGUCUUCCGGGGGCGGCACCGCCAGAAAACUGAUUGGGAGGUAGCUAUUAAAAGUAUUAAUAAAAAGAACCUGUCAAAAUCACAAAUACUGCUUGGGAAGGAAAUUAAAAUCUUAAAGGAACUUCAGCAUGAAAACAUUGUAGCACUCUAUGAUGUUCAGGAAUUACCCAACUCUGUGUUUCUGGUGAUGGAGUAUUGCAAUGGUGGAGACCUGGCAGAUUAUUUGCAAGCUAAGGGCACACUCAGCGAGGACACCAUCAGAGUGUUUCUGCAUCAGAUCGCAGCUGCCAUGCGCAUUCUGCACAGCAAGGGCAUCAUCCACAGGGACCUCAAGCCCCAGAACAUCCUGCUGUCCUACGCCAGUCGCAGGAAGUCCAGUGUCAGUGGUAUUCGCAUCAAAAUAGCUGAUUUUGGUUUUGCUCGUUACUUGCAUAGUAACAUGAUGGCUGCCACGCUGUGCGGGUCCCCAAUGUACAUGGCUCCUGAGGUUAUCAUGUCUCAACAUUAUGAUGCCAAGGCUGACUUGUGGAGCAUCGGGACAGUGAUAUAUCAGUGCCUCGUUGGAAAGCCACCUUUUCAGGCUAAUAGUCCUCAAGACCUAAGGAUGUUUUAUGAAAAAAACAGGAACUUAAUGCCUAGCAUUCCCAGAGAAACAUCACCUUAUUUGGCUAAUCUUCUUUUGGGUUUGCUUCAGAGAAACCAAAAAGAUAGAAUGGACUUUGAAGCAUUUUUCAGCCAUCCUUUCCUUGAGCAAGUUCCAGUAAAAAAAUCCUGCCCAGUCCCGGUGCCCGUGUACGCCGGCUCUGCCUCUGGAGGCUCCUAUGGCAGCUCUCCGUCCUGUCGUUUCGCCUCUCCACCGUCCCUUCCAGAUAUGCAGCAUAUUCAGGAAGAAAACUUAUCCUCCCCACCAUUGGGUCCUCCCAACUAUCUCCAGGUGUCCAAAGAUUCUGCCAGUACUAGUAGCAAGAACUCUUCUUGUGACACGGAUGACUUUGUUUUGGUUCCACACAACAUCUCGUCAGACCACUCAUAUGAUAUGCCAAUGGGAACUGCUGGCAGACGUGCUUCUAAUGAGUUCUUGGUGUGUGGAGGGCAGUGCCAGCCCUCCGUAUCCCCACACAGCGCAGCUGCCCCCAUUCCCGUCCCCACCCAGGUGAGGAAUUACCAGCGCAUAGAGCAGAACCUCACCUCCACUGCUGGCUCCAGCACAAAUCUACAUGGCUCUCCACGAUCUGCAGCGGUACGAAGGUCUAACACCAGCCCUCUGGGCUUCCUCCGUCCGGGAUCUUGCUCCCCAGCGCCAGCAGAUGCAGUUCCGGCCAUAGGACGAAGACUCUCCACUGGCUCUUCCAGGCCUUACUCACCUUCCCCUCUGGUGGGCACCAUUCCUGAGCAGUUCCGUCAGUGCUGCUGCGGGCAUCUUCAGGGUCACGAAUCCAGGAGUAGGAACUCAUCAGGUUCUCCCGUGCCGCAGGCCCAGUCACCACAGCCUCUCCUGUUGGGCGCUAGACUGCAGAGCGCUCCCACCCUCACCGACAUCUACCAGAACAAGCAGAAGCUCAGAAAACAGCACUCUGACCCCGUGUGCCCAUCCCAGGCCGGGGCAGGCUACAGCUGCUCUCCCCAGCCCAGCCGGCCUGGCAGCCUCGGGACCUCCCCCACCAAGCACAGCGGGUCCUCCCCGCGGAGCUCGGACUGGCUCUUCAGAACUCCGUUACCAACCAUCAUUGGCUCUCCUACUAAGGCCACGGCUCCUUUCAAAAUUCCCAAAACGCAAGCAUCUUCCAACCUUCUCGCCUUGGCCACUCGCCAUGGGCCUUCCGAGGGGCAGCCGAAAGACGGGAACAACCCAAGGAAAUGCACUCACUGUGUCUUGGUUCAAGGAGGGGAGAGGCAGAAGUCCGAGCAUCAGGUCAAGGCAGCGUUUGGCAGGUCCAUCAGUACUGGGAAAUUAUCAGAUCAACAAGUAAAAACACCUUUUGGUGGACAUCAAGGCAGCACGGACAGUUUAAAUACAGAACGACCAAUGGAUACAGCCCCUGCAGGAGCCUGUGGUGUGGCCCUGGCCCCUCCUGUAGGAGCAGCAGCCAGCCCCAGGGCCGUGGUGUUCACGGUGGGGUCUCCCCCACACAGGGCCGCAGCCACCACGCGUGCCCCCGUGGGCCUUCGGAUAAGAACCGCCUCAGGGGGCUCUAGCGGCUCCGGGGGCUCUCUGUGCUCCAUCGGUGGCCAUGUGUGUGGGGGUUCCCCACCUGGGCUGUGCUCAGGGUCUCCCCCUCCGGGAGCAGAAGCGGCCCCCAGCCUGAGACAUGUGCCUUGUGGUGCUUCACCCCCCAGCCUGGAGGGUCUCGUAACCUUUGAAGCCCCCGAACUGCCAGAGGAAACGCUGAUGGAGGUGGGAAGAGACCCUACAAUACAAGUUGGCUUUGCCUUAGCAAGAACAUGCAGACACCUUACGCCACCUGAACUCAAUGCUGCUGUUCACGGAGUGUGUGCUGGACCUGACAGCUAUGCGCGGGGGGAGCCCGGAGCUCUGCGCAUCGGCCGUCUCCGUGUACCAGAUCCAGGAGAGUGCGGUGGUGGACCAGAUCAGCCAGCUGAGCAAGGACUGGGGGCGAGUAGAGCAGCUCGUGUUGCACAUGAAAGCUGCACAACUCCUAGCAGCCUCUCUGCAUCUCGCCAAAGAGCAGAUCAAAUCCGGGAAGCUGAGCCCGUCCUCGGGUGUGAAGCAAGUUGUCAAAAAUCUGAAUGAACGAUAUAAAUUCUGCAUUAGCAUGUGCAAGAAAUUGACAGAAAAGCUGAAUCGCUUCUUCUCUGACAAACAGAGAUUUAUUGAUGAAAUCAACAGCGUAACUGCAGAGAAACUCAUCUAUAACUGUGCUGUAGAAAUGGUUCAAGCCGCAGCCUUGGAUGAAAUGUUUCAGCAGACUGAAGAUAUUGUUUAUCGCUAUCAUAAGGCAGCCCUUCUUCUGGAGGGCUUAACUAAGAUUCUUCAGGACCCGGCAGACAUUGAAAACAUCCACAGAUAUAAAUCUAGUAUUGAAAGAAGAUUGUCAGCACUCUGCUAUAGCACCUCAGCCUUGUGAGCAGCAGCAGGCCUGCCCCCGGGACCAGCGGUGGGUGUCAGGUGAUGCCGUUGGGAGCACAGCUUGGGUCCUGUCGGUCCACUCUUACAUGGUGACUACCAAAGAGCACGCAGUGGUUUCACAAAGGAAAACCAAUCCCAGAACUACAUAUUGUAGGAGGUCUUCCUUAUCAGAGAAGUCACCCCUUCCCUUUCUCUUUAUAGAAGCAGAUGCAAAAGUGUUCCACUGGGCUUUCGGUUUGAUUUUGGUAAAUAAAUGUACCUUAGAACUAGAAUCACCAGUAUGGUUACUGUUAAGGAGAGUUAGCAUUAAGUGAUGAGUGGCUCUUUGUACUAGCCACCAGAGCACAGUGUGGGACUCCUUGUAUUCACCAAGGAGUGGAAAUAAAAAGCCCCAUCUCCUCCGGCAGUUCAGUUCUCGGGGUGAGUUUGUCUGAGUCUGAGCACGCACCCAUAAACAGCUCAGGAAGAAAUAACUUAAGAAGGAGUGAAAGAUGACUCUUGGAAGAUAUUGUGAAAUCUUCAAUUUGAGCUAACGUGGACAUAUAUUAAUAAUCUUCCAAAAUCUUUCAUAUUGCACUAAUUUAUUAAAACAACUGUAUUGGAUUUUGCAAUUUAAAGCUAACUGAGGCACAAUGGACUUGUUUAAAGUAUUUUACUUGAUUAUAUAUGCGUACCCUUUCCAGAAUUCACAUGUAAUCUCUUGUGGACUUUUCAGUGGUAAAGACUUGUGUUUUAUGAGCCUCUGCAUUUUCUUAACCUAUUCAUCUACGCCUAUAGGUUUUCUCUCGCUGAUUUUUUUAAGUUGCUGGUUGUCUGCUUUAGUUUGCAUUUUUUACUCUGCAUGCAUAAUGUGUAUUCAUGCCUGUGACCGCUAGGUUUAUUCGGGCAGCAUUAGAACAAGUGGCAGGCCAGAGAUACACUCAAGAAUUGCGGUAGGGCCAAAACAGAGCUGGUGACCUCUAGGCUUUUUAGUGAUGUGGAGUUUUACAUGAAGUCAGUGAAAAAUGAGGUUUGUUUUCUCUUAGGAUAAGGGGCGGCUCUCUCCAGCCUGCGUGCAUUUUCCUGUUAAUCCUGGCAGUCCACCAGGGAGCUAGUCACGGAGAAUGUGGGCCCUUAACGUCCCUCCAGAAACGGUGCCCACGUGGUCGAUGAUUUGGUUUCUUUGACUUACGUGCUUGGAUACUUGAACAAACCAUUCUCCAGUUUUAAUCCUUUAGAUGAUGUCAUCUGAACUUGGACAAAUUGCACAGAAGCUCUUUGGCAUUAAUCUAAUUUAGUGUACUGAUAAAAACAAAAAGGUUUUCCUUUACUUUGACGAAGUAAUGUAAUUUUUACCUUAUUUAUCUGUAUAAAAUCCCAGCAGUUAAUUUGAACAUUUAUUUAUAUGAUGUUUGUAUUUUUAGGUCUUUAAUACAGUGUUUCUACCUCUCAUUUGUAACUGCAUGCAUUACCCAUGAAACUAGAUAAAACUCACUGAAUUGUGUAAUAGCCUUUUUAUUAUUGCCUGUACAGAUGUAUACUAAGAUAAAUAAAACUGACCAGGUGUUUCUAGGACAAGGCUGGGUCCCUGUGACGUGGCUUGUCAGACCAACUCCUUCCUCAGUGAGUUUGGAGGCUGGGUGGUUAACGCACAUUGCCCCAGGACUUCAGGUUGUGGUGACAGUCCUGCAGGCUAUGGGAGGAGGGCUGUGCUGGGGUUCCCCCCUCCCCCAGCAGGGUGACAAGCACCAUUACCGGUGAUGGUCUAGUUUGUACCACUGUUUUGAGUGUAAAGGGCAGUUUCUUGUAUGUUCUCUCAGUUACCACAUGGGUCAUCUCAGUUGAUCCUCCAAAGGGGGUGGGUGCAUUCUGGCCCCUCCUCCCCUUUCCCAUUUGUUUUAAACACAGGAUGGAAUGAGUUCACAGUGAGGAAAUGGCUUGGUCUGCCGUCAGUACCUAGGGAGUGGUCUCCAAGUGCAUUCUUCUUCUUGUGCGAGAAAGGUCAGGUGGUAUGUGGUGUAUGUGUGAAACCCUGCGGUCUGAACAGCAGAAAACAAACUGUAAAUGCAGGAAUAAUGAUUCUGAUUAUAUUUCCAUUAUCAAGGCCAGUUGAUUUAAGAGAUUUUGCCUUGAUUAUAGCAAUAAUAAACAAAUGCUUUAUGUUUC